CUUAAGCAUAUCAAUAAGCGGAGGAAAAGAAACCAACAGGGAUUGCCCCAGUAACGGCGAGUGAAGCGGCAACAGCUCAAAUUUGAAAUCUGGCCCCCCGGGCCCGAGUUGUAAUUUGGAGAGGAUGCUUCUGGCGCGGCGCCUUCCGAGUGCCUUGGAACAGGCCGCCACAGAGGGUGAGAGCCCCGUACGGUUGGUCGCCUAGCCUCUGCGAAGCUCCUUCGACGAGUCGAGUAGUUUGGGAAUGCUGCUCAAAAUGGGAGGUAAAUUUCUUCUAAAGCUAAAUACCGGCCAGAGACCGAUAGCGCACAAGUAGAGUGAUCGAAAGAUGAAAAGCACUUUGAAAAGAGGGUUAAACAGUACGUGAAAUUGUUGAAAGGGAAGCGCCCGGGGCCAGACUUGCGCCCCGCGGACCACCCGGCGUUCCGCGCCGGUGCACUCCGCGGGGCGCAGGCCAGCAUCGGUUCUUCCAGGGGGAGAAAGGCCGCGGGAACGUAGCUCCUCCGGGAGUGUUAUAGCCCGCGGCGUCAUGCCCCUGGGGGGACCGAGGACCGCGCUUCGGCAAGGAUGCUGGCGUAAUGGCCCCCGGCGACCCGUCUUGAAACACGGACCAAGGAGUCAAGCAUUGGGGCGAGUGUCUGGGUGCCAAACCCGCACGCGAAAUGAAAGUAAACGCAGGUGAGAGCUUCGGCGCAUCAUCGACCGAUCCUGAUGUCUUCGGAUGGAUUUGAGUAAGAGCCCUACCGCUUGGACCCGAAAGAUGGUGAACUAUGCCUGUAUAGGGUGAAGCCAGAGGAAACUCUGGUGGAGGCUCGCAGCGGUUCUGACGUGCAAAUCGAUCGUCAAAUAUGGGCAUGGGGCGAAAGACUAAUCGAACCAUCUAGUAG
rnacentral:rRNA from 1 species